rnacentral:rRNA from 1 species
UACGGGGGGGGCAAGCGUUGUUCGGAAUUACUGGGCGUAAAGGGCUCGUAGGCGGCCAACUAAGUCGGACGUGAAAUCCCCAGGCUCAACCUGGGAACUGCGUCUGAUACUGGAUGGCUUGAAUCCGGGAGAGGGAUGCAGAAUUCCAGGUGUAGCGGUGAAAUGCGUAGAUAUCUGGAGGAACACCGGUGGCGAAGGCGGCAUCCUGGACCAACACUGACGCUGAUGAGCGAAAGCCAGGGGAGCAAACGGG